GUAAAAUCUCCUGAAUCCUUGCUAAUCCUGACUAGGCGCUAAUCUACUGAGGUGUGCAUCAGAUCAGGCAAAGACAUGCUUCAGCAUAAGCUUCUUCAGGGAAGCUCACCGAAAGGCAAGUGCUUGUGUUUGACGUCGGUGGUCAUAGAAGCCCCUGAAAAACCCAUCUCAGACACUUCUACUCAAGAAAUAUCUGGCAACCUCAGAGGUUAUGUGGCGCUGAUGGUUUACCUGACAAUCUGGACAGAUAUGCUGGAGUGUGUAAUGUUUUUACACAGGGAUAUGAGGUGCUUUUGAUGUGCUGUGAUGAGUAGACCUAUCAUACACAGUGCAUUUUCAGGAAAAGUGAUGGAGAUGCACAGACGGACAUUAUGGGUAGUUUUCUAAAAGGACGUGUUUAUUGUUAGCAUUAAAUCAUACAAAGCCAAUAAUGUAUUCACAACUGAUGUACAAAGAAAUCCUGCAUUAAAUAUAACGGUAAUCCAUUGAACAUGAUCAUGUGAAAUUGCUUAAGUAAGGAAUAAAACACUUGUGUGCGUUCUGUUAUAGGAAAAUAGUAAAUGGCAGGUUGGUGUGGUGCAGCCACAGAUGAAGCACAGUCACUGUUACCACUCUGAAGCUGAUUAUUUUCCAAUAACGACAUAUCCUAAAAACAAGCCAGAGGCGAUGGAUGGUGACAAAGAAAAUCUCCCUGAGACGACAUGAGGAAGAAACCUUGAGAGGAACCAGACUCAAAAGUGACACCAGAUAGACUGAUUAUAAAUAUGUUCUCUUCUCUUUUCUCGUCCUUUAAACCUGAAAAAAAUACUAUCGCAUGUAAUAUUGCAUUAUCAAAUGUAAUACAACAUAACAUUAAAGCAAUAGAUAAUUUAACAAUGAAAAAGGGUGACUAUGAUUAUAUAUAAAUAAGAAGAACAGAAAUAACAUCUAAUAGGAGUAGUAUAUCACCAAUAUACAGUAUUUCUGCAUAAAUAGUCCUAAUUGUAAUGAUUACAUUAACGACUGCGAAAUUUGGUUUCAUUUAACAACAUGGCUUCUUCCAUUAUUAUAGACUUAGAAAACAGCACUUGAUCCAGCAUAUCCGAUUACUUUGUAUAUCAUUAUUAUUAUGCAUUCUGUUAUUUUUUAUAUCAUGUGCCAACAGUUAAUCGUGCA
ensembl:lncRNA